CACGGCAGGUAGAGUAUACUGUGGAUACACUAGACAAAGGGAUGAUUUAUAUCCUGGGCAGAAUGGAGUAGGACAGUGAAAGAUUUCGCCAACAUAUUCAGAAUAGCAUGCAAUUUAAAACUUAUUUUGAAGUUGGAAGAAGUGGCAAAAUGUGAAAAGCAAGAAGCAAGUAUUACCAGAGACACCUAUGAAAAAGAAAUCUUUCUGAAGAACAUUUUUAAAGUGCCAUAAUCUGUUCGGUGAAUCCAAAGGCUGAAAGAGACUGAGUAACAGCUAUUAAGUAAGGUGAAAAUGUUAUUUUACAUGGAAACCUAUUUUGUUCCAUAAAACUAAAUAAACCAUAACCCAGAAGUGCAAUGAGACACACACAGCAUGACCACAUUAUUUCUGAAAGCUGAAGAGUUGCCAGUCUGUUGAUCUCAAACUUCAUGAACCACACAGUUCAGUUCAAAUUGUUUCCCUGAAAUUGCUUUGAGCCUCUGCCAAACAGCCACUGAAGGACUCCGAAAAAUACAAGAACUGAAAGGGGCACAUGGCAGAUACAAUCAUAAACUUUCAUUUCGGAGAGCAGUAAAAAAGGAGAAGAAGAACACACUGGUACUCCAACAAGUCAUAGUUUCUGCCAGAUGUUGCAAAAUUUCCCAUAGUCCUUAUGGUGCCUGACUGUCGUUAUCAACUUCUGACUCAUUCUAACACACUGCUUUACCUUGGCUGUAAGCUGGGAACCCUGCUAUCAGAAAUUCAUAUCAAAUGUCCACAGAAACCCAAUCAGCAACACUACUUUCAAAGUGUCUUUUGACAAGUAAUAUGUGCAUUUUACAAAUCCAAAGGCAAUAUUUGAAGUAGCUCUUCAAAACAGCUGCAUUACUCAAAGCUAUCUCUGUAUCAUCGCCUUGUUUCCUGGAAGAAAAUGUGGAAAUGUGUACUGAAAAUGUGUAAAUGAUUAAAGCAUCAGUAUAAAGAAAAAACAUUCUGAAGAUGAAUAAAAAUUAUUUUGAGGGCUUGUUGAAAAACCAAA
rnacentral:lncRNA from 1 species